rnacentral:lncRNA from 1 species
UCCCUGAUUCCUCUGGUCCGUACCUACACAGGUGGACUCAAAUGAGGGACCAAACUCACUCAAGCACAUCUCUAAGAAACUCCCCAAAACCCCUCUAAACGAUCCUAAAACCAACACAUAAAACAUGCAAAAGAAAGCUGGACAGGGCACUUUCGGCGGCAAGUUCGGCGGCCGAAACCCCUCUCCAGAGAAAAAACUCAUGCAUGUUCGGCGGCACCUUCGGCGGCCGAAGGUCUCGUCCAGAGACGAAACUCACACACUUUCGGCGGCCGAACUCCCUCUUUCGGCGGCCGAAAGUCUCUGUCUAAACCGAAAGCCUAUCGUUCGGGGGCAACCUUUGGCAGCCGAAACUGCCUCCACAAGGGGUUCGGCGGCCGAACCUUCCUUCGGCGGCCGAACCUUCCUUCGGCGGCCGAACCUGGUUUUGCCCGAAGGGCAGAACCCUGCUCUGUUUCAUGCAAACUUUGCCCAAAAACCUACAAACAUGCAUAUCAACUACUCCCAACUAGCAUAUACACAUAUAUAUGCACAAAGGGGUCUAAACCUACCCUAAAACCCCAAACAAACAUAGCACAUAACACUUAAAGAUGUUUGAACACCUCAAAGCACCAAAACCCUCACCUAAACCUAAACAGGCAUACUACCCAUACAAACUUCAUAAAACCUUUCAAAAUCAUCAAAGAAGCUCAGGAUCUUCACUUACCUCUUACACAACUUGAGGAUGAAGGAUCCUAACGUGGAGAUAUGAAGAAAAGCUCUUCCAAAGCUCCAAGCUUCAAAACUUGGUUCUUUUGCUCAAAACCUUUAUAAGUCACCAAAACUCUUAAAACUCUUGAAAGAUUUGAUGAAAAUCAUGGACAACAUGAAAGUCAACGUGGGAGAGGCUGAAACUCACCUCUGGCUGCAAGUGGAGGAGAAAUAACCUCCUUCCACCGACCCUUGGCCCUUUUAUAGGUGGCUGGCCAGACCACCUUCGGCAGCCGAACGUGAAGCCGCAACCAUGCAAUGUUCGGCGGCCGAAAGUUACCUUCGGCGGCCGAACCUUUGCAUUUCUCCCUUGUUGCUUUUCUUUCAAAACUCAAGUCUUUUAACACUUCAAAACAUGAAAACA